GUGGGGAAUAUUGCACAAUGGGGGAAACCCUGAUGCAGCGACGCCGCGUGAGUGAAGAAGUAUCUCGGUAUGUAAAGCUCUAUCAGCAGGGAAGAAAAUGACGGUACCUGACUAAGAAGCCCCGGCUAACUACGUGCCAGCAGCCGCGGUAAUACGUAGGGGGCAAGCGUUAUCCGGAAUUACUGGGUGUAAAGGGUGCGUAGGUGGUAUGGCAAGUCAGAAGUGAAAACCCAGGGCUUAACUCUGGGACUGCUUUUGAAACUGUCAGACUGGAGUGCAGGAGAGGUAAGCGGAAUUCCUAGUGUAGCGGUGAAAUGCGUAGAUAUUAGGAGGAACAUCAGUGGCGAAGGCGGCUUACUGGACUGAAACUGACACUGAGGCACGAAAGCGUGGGGAGCAAACAGGA
rnacentral:rRNA from 1 species